UGACUCCUGGCUCAGAACGAACGGUGGCGGCGUGGAUAAGACAUGCAAGUCGAACGGGACUUUCAGUGUAGCAAUACAUUGAAAGUUCAGUGGCGUAAGGGUGCGUAACACGUGGGAAAUCUGCCGAGAAGUGGGGGAUAGCUCGCCGAAAGGCGAAUUAAUACCGCAUGUGGUCAGUGAGGACAUCCUCGCGAAACCAAAGCCGGGGCAACCUGGCGCUUCUUGAUGAUCCCGCGGCCUAUCAGCUAGUUGGCGGGGUAAAAGCCCACCAAGGCUAUGACGGGUAGCUGGUCUGAGAGGACGACCAGCCACACUGGAACUGAGACACGGUCCAGACACCUACGGGUGGCAGCAGUCGAGAAUUUUUCUCAAUGGGGGAAACCCUGAAGGAGCGACGCCGCGUGAAGGAUGAAGGUCUUCGGAUUGUAAACUUCUGUCAUUAGGGAACAAAUCUUCCAGUCAACUGCUGGAAGUCUGAUAGUACCUGAAGAGGAAGAGACGGCUAACUCUGUGCCAGCAGCCGCGGUAAUACAGAGGUCUCAACCGUUGUUCGGAUUCAUUGGGCGUAAAGGGUGCGUAGGCGGCGGAGUAAGUCAGGUGUGAAAUCUCGGGGCUCAACCCCGAAACUGCACUUGAUACUGCUUCGCUAGAGUAUUGGAGAGGAGAUUGGAAUUUACGGUGUAGCAGUGAAAUGCGUA
rnacentral:rRNA from 1 species